GUGCCCCAGAGGCAGCACACACUCUGUACGGGGGACAUCUCGUGCUUUUUUCCCUUUCUCUUCCAUGACACUCAGGGCCAGACAUUGUCACUCUCAUGCUUCACAGCCUCCGGUACUCAGAGGCAAUUCUGUCUUUCCUGAUUAGCUCCUUUCCUGAAGGAGCGAGAACCCCGACUGGGCAUGCCAGUGUGGGAGUCAGCAAGCACGCGGCUAUGUUCUCUCUUGCAGUUUUGCACAUUUGGGAGCCGGCAGAUUGGAAGAGGCUAUUACGUGUUUGACUCCAGGUGGAAUCGACUUCGCUGCGCCCUCAAUCUCAUGGUGGAGAAGCAUCUGAAUGCACAGCUAUGGAAGAAAAUCCCACCAGUGCCCGGUACCACCUCACCCAUCUCCACACGUAUUCCUCACCGGACAAACUCUGUGCCGACAUCACAAUGUGGAGUCAGCUAUCUGGCAGCAGCCACUGUCUCCACAUCUCCAGCCCUGCUCUCAUCUACCUGCAUCUCCCCAAAUAGCAAAUUGGUACCAGCUCAUGGAACCACACUAAAUGCACAGCCUGCUGCUUCAGGGGCUAUGGAUCCUGUGUGCAGUAUGCAAUCCAGACAAGUGUCCUCUUCAUCCUCAUCCCCUUCCACGCCCUCUGGCCUUUCCUCGGUUCCUUCCUCCCCUAUGUCCAGGAAACCUCAGAAAUUGAAAUCCAGCAAAUCUUUGAGGCCCAAGGAGUCU
rnacentral:sRNA from 1 species